rnacentral:rRNA from 1 species
GAUGAACGCUGGCGGCGUGCCUAAUACAUGCAAGUCGAGCGAAUGGAUUAAGAGCUUGCUCUUCGGAUUAGUGGCGAACGGGUGAGUAACACGUGACUAACCUGCCCCUUUCUCUGGGAUAACGCUCCGAAAGGAGUGCUAAUACCGGAUACUCACAUCGAGGCACAUGCCUUGAUGUGGAAAGUUUUUCGGAAAGGGAUGGAGUCGCGGCCUAUCAGCUUGUUGGUGGGGUAACGGCUCACCAAGGCGACGACGGUUAGCCGGCCUGAGAGGGGGAACGGCGACACUGGGACUGAGACACGGUCCAGACUCCUACGGGAGGGAGCAGUGGGGAAUAUUGCACAAUGGGCGAAAGCCUGAUGCAGCGACGCCGCGUGAGGGAUGAAGGUCUUCGGAUUGUAAACCUCUUUCAGUAGGGACGAAGCGAAGGUGACGGUACCUAAAGAAGAAGCACCGGCUAACUACGUGCCAGCAGCCGCCGUAA